AGGGAACGUGGGGAAGUGAAACAUCUCAGUACCCACAGGAAAAGAAAACAACCGUGAUUCCGUAAGUAGUGGCGAGCGAACGCGGAGGAGGCCAAACCUAGCAUGUGUGAUAGCUGACAGGCGUUGCAUGUUGGGUGUUGUGGGGCCGUUCAGAUCGGGCUGUCAUCCGGUCAGAGAGUAAGAAAAGAUCAAUGAAGUCGAAGGACUCUGGGAAGUUCCGGCAAAGAGGGUAACACCCCCGUAGAUGUAAGUUGAUCUCUCUCGAGCGUCACCCCAAGUAAUGCGGAACCCCUGAAAUUCCGCAUGAAUCUGGCGGGACCACCCGUUAAGCCUAAAUACUCCUUGAUGACCGAUAGCGGACAAGUACCGUGAGGGAAAGG
rnacentral:rRNA from 1 species